rnacentral:rRNA from 1 species
AUUGAACGCUGGCGGAAUGCUUUACACAUGCAAGUCGAGCGGCAGCGCGGGGGCAACCCUGGCGGCGAGCGGCGAACGGGUGAGUAACACAUCGGAACGUACCCAGUUGUGGGGGAUAGCCCGGCGAAAGCCGGAUUAAUACCGUAUAUGCUCUGAGGAGGAAAGUGGGGGACCUGUGAGGGCCUCAUGCUUUGGGAGCGGCCGAUGUCCGAUUAGCUAGUUGGUGGGGUAAUGGCUUACCAAGGCGACGAUCGGUAGCUGGUCUGAGAGGAUGAUCAGCCACACUGGGACUGAGACACGGCCCAGACUCCUACGGGAGGCAGCAGUGGGGAAUUUUGGACAAUGGGGGCAACCCUGAUCCAGCCAUGCCGCGUGCGGGAAGAAGGCCUUCGGGUUGUAAACCGCUUUUAGCUGGGAAGAAAAGGCCUGUCCUAAUACGGCAGGUUCUUGACGGUACCGGCGGAAUAAGCACCGGCUAACUACGUGCCAGCCGCCGCGGUAAAAC